rnacentral:lncRNA from 1 species
UUCGUACUUUUUCACUUUUCCUUUGGAAACAAUAAAAGCGCGGUGGUGACUCUUGUUUUAUUGAUGUUGAGCUAACCAAUAACUCAGUGGCCACGAAUUUACCGCUAUAGAAAAAAAUGGCGACUCUGCUGGGGAGUAGUCCUUAGUGGGUUUAGCCUACUUUUUGUGUGUACUGUAUUUGUUGAUUAUUUGAUGUUUGUUUGUUUGUGUAUAUUGUUUGUA